UUCUGGCGACCGGCGCACGGGUGAGUAACACGUAUCCAACCUGCCCUUUACUCGGGGAUAGCCUUUCGAAAGAAAGAUUAAUACCCGAUAGCAUAAUGAUUCCGCAUGGUUUCAUUAUUAAAGGAUUCCGGUAAAGGAUGGGGAUGCGUUCCAUUAGGUUGUUGGUGAGGUAACGGCUCACCAAGCCUUCGAUGGAUAGGGGUUCUGAGAGGAAGGUCCCCCACAUUGGAACUGAGACACAGUCCAA
rnacentral:rRNA from 1 species